UACGAAGGGGGCUAGCGUUGCUCGGAAUUACUGGGCGUAAAGCGCACGUAGGCGGCUUUCUAAGUCGGGGUGAAAUCCCGGGCUCAACCCCGGAACUGCCUUUGAUACUGGUAGUCUCGAGUCCGGAAGAGGUGAGUGGAAUUCCGAGUGUAGAGGUGAAAUUCGUAGAUAUUCGGAGGAACACCAGUGGCGAAGGCGGCCAACUGGCCCGAUACUGACGGCUGAGGCGCGAAAGCGUGGGGAGCAA
rnacentral:rRNA from 1 species